rnacentral:rRNA from 1 species
UACGGAGGGUGCAAGCGUUAUCCGGAUUCACUGGGUUUAAAGGGUGCGUAGGUGGGGAUGUAAGUCAGUGGUGAAAUCUCCGUGCUUAACAUGGAAACUGCCAUUGAUACUAUGUUUCUUGAAUUUUCUGGAGGUCAGCGGAAUAUGUCAUGUAGCGGUGAAAUGCUUAGAUAUGACAUAGAACACCAAUUGCGAAGGCAGCUGGCUACAGGGAUAUUGACACUGAGGCACGAAAGCGUGGGGAGCGAACAGG